AACGAGGCCUGAUAUUUAGAUGCCCACAAUCUCCUUACUUAGUGCCUGAUUGUUCAGAGCCGAUAUGCCUGUAUUGCCAAAUCAUCAUGUGUCAAGGACACUUCGUUUAGAAGCAAUCAACCCACCGCAGAGCGUCGGUUGAGAGCCUGAGAGAGCAUAUUACAUUUCAAACGAUUAUCCUUCAAACGCUGCAAAGAACAUUUUUGAAAAAAAACACAGCAAUGGGUUUAUCAUUUACGCUAAGGAAAUGAACUGUAAAUUAGAUAAACGAGAGAGAGAGAAAAGAAGGGGGAGAAAAGAGAGAGAGAGAG
rnacentral:sRNA from 1 species